GGCCGCGACGCGCCGCCGCCGCGUCUCGCUACCUUGGCCUUCUUCAGAAGCGUCAUCAGCUCCUCCUCUUCGCUCGCCGGCUCCUCCGAGGAGCCCGACAGCCAGAAGGCUGAAGCCGCAAAACACCGGGAACGCACGAGCAGCAACGGAUGGAAUGGAAGUCGACGUCACUUACCCGCCGCCGCCGUCGCCGCCAUCUUCUUCCAUCCAUCUCCUCGUCGUCCCGCGCCGUCGUCGGGUUCUCCCGCCCACAGCUGUGAUGUCACGACGGCGUUCCCCUGGACUCCGCUGACCCUGAACAAAGAGUUUGUCGACAGAAGAUGAUCGGCCCGUUAGCAAAUGAGGUGAGAGAAAAGCGCCACCCGCUGGACGGAGGAGACCGUGCACGUCGAACCCCAUCACGUGACCGCAGGCCAAGGACUAUCUGAAAAAGAAGCAAAAAAGUUCAGCGAUGCGACCACACGCCCCGAUGACGCCGUCCAG